rnacentral:tRNA from 5 species
GACUCUAUAGCUCAGUGGUAGAGCAUACGAUUGCAGAUCGUGCGGUCCCGUGUUCGAACCACGGUGGGGUCU